AUUUCUUUAAGAAUGAAAUUUAAUCAGUUCUCAACACUUUUGAAUAAUGAUUUGCUCUAUGAAAGUGAGCUGGCAGUUCUGAAAAUAUUUUUCAGGGCCCUGUGCCCACUCACACUGAGACUAGGCAGACAUCUUGCUGUGCUGUGUUGUUGCAACUCCCUUUUUUCCUGACAGUGGAUUGAGUGAGGAGGAGACCCAAAUGAUAGCUGAGGUUUUUAGACACCUUUUAUUGAUUAGACUGUUAAUGGCUUUAAGCUCUAAUUAUUAAUAGCAGAUAUCAGCUCACACGAUACUUUUACUUAUUCCUGCAGACAGACCACAUGCAGAUAUGCAUUCACAGCUGCAUGGUUGGAGCUAUAGCUGGGAUACCCAGAAGCAGAGGAUCAGACCAACAUCAGACCAACGGCUUGCAACUAAUUUUCUCCAAGUGGAUGACUUUAACCAGAACAUAUAAGGCACAUUCUAAGACACAAAGACCUUUCAUUCUCCUUCAUCUACACCCUGCACCCCUGAAGAACUAUAGGCCACUGUGCAAGAAGGAUGGAGAGGCUACAUUGAUCCCAAUGGACAGACUCUUGUAUUUGCGAAGAAGAAGAGAAAGAUGAAAUUUAAAUAUAAUCUAAAUUAAGUCUAUUUAAAAGCAGAUUUUUCUGUUUUCUAUUUGAAGUGGCAUAUACACAAGCUUAUAAAGCACCAAGUAAAACAGUAAGUUAUGUACUUUGCAAUCUCUGCAGUAGCUCUGCAGAGAAAUGUGACAGCCAAAGUGCUCUUCGUAAUAACUCACACAUGGCCUUCAUAAUAUCUUGUACUGAGAGACACAGGGUUGGCUGAGGCACUGUGGUUAUCCUUAUCAUUUUUUUUCAAAAGAUCAUUAACUCUUGUUUGGUAGAAAGGCAGAGAGGAUUUUGGUAGUUUGUCUGAGAAAGACAACUCUGCAGUAAUAGCUGCACUGUAAGUUGACUUCCACUUUGCUAGAUUUUGAACCCUUGGGACCUGGUUAUGGGCGAGUAGAAAUUGGCACAACUCUAUUCAUUUCAAUUAGGUCACAUCAUUUACACAAACUGAAGCUAUGGCCCAUUAUUUCUUCAUGCCUGCUCUAUCAGUGAAUCCAGGUAUGUGAUUAUAUACAAGAGUGCUCAUUAAAGUUAAUGCCAUGUACUUAAAGCCAUGAGCCUAAUGUUAAAUUGGUAUUUAAGUGCCCUGUGGUAUCAGCCUCAGAAUGCAGUGCUGCCUGCUAAGAUGUUACAACAAUUUUUUUGGAAAGGACUUGCUAAUUUGCAGUGAGCAACUUUCCUGUCAGCCAUCACAUAGACAGAUUAAUUAGCUGUUGUUUCCAGUAGUUUCCUCUGUCUCAAAAUAUUUCUUACCUUGUGCCGUGGAUGUAGAAAUAAGGAGAGAAUUCAUGGAACAUUUUCUUUAAUGAAGAAAUUACUCUUACUGAAUUAGGUUUGUCUUAAUUUGAAGCAGAACUCUGAAAUUCUCUUCCUAGUCUUGCCGUUGAAACCCAGUAAGAUCUUUUACAAAUGAUAUAAUCUUGGAGGCUCACAUAAUCCCAU
rnacentral:lncRNA from 1 species